rnacentral:rRNA from 1 species
UACGAAGGGGGCUAGCGUUUGUUCGGAAUUACUGGGCGUAAAGCGCACGUAGGCGGACUAUUAAGUCAGGGGUGAAAUCCCGGGGCUCAACCCCGGAACUGCCUUUGAUACUGGUAGUCUCGAGUCCGGAAGAGGUGAGUGGAAUUCCGAGUGUAGAGGUGAAAUUCGUAGAUAUUCGGAGGAACACCAGUGGCGAAGGCGGCUCACUGGUCCGGUACUGACGCUGAGGUGCGAAAGCGUGGGGAGCAAACAGG